UAGUGGAGCGAUUUGUCUGGUCAAUUCCGAUAACAAACGAGACUAACCUACUAAAUAGCCUACUAAAUAGUUCGGGGACCCCCACAAAGGGGCCCGCUUAAACUUAGAGGGACAGGUGGCGUUUAGCCACACGAGAUUUAGUAUCAACA
rnacentral:rRNA from 1 species